AGAAUUCGGCUUGCAGUGGGGAAUAUUGGACAAUGGGCGAAAGCCUGAUCCAGCCAUGCCGCGUGAGUGAUGAAGGCCCUAGGGUUGUAAAGCUCUUUCGCCAGGGACGAUAAUGACGGUACCUGGAUAAGAAGCCCCGGCUAACUUCGUGCCAGCAGCCGCGGUAAUACGAAGGGGGCUAGCGUUGUUCGGAUUUACUGGGCGUAAAGCGCACGUAGGCGGAUUUUUAAGUCAGGGGUGAAAUCCCAAGGCUCAACCUUGGAACUGCCUUUGAUACUGGAAGUCUCGAGUCCGGGAGAGGUGAGUGGAACUGCGAGUGUAGAGGUGAAAUUCGUAGAUAUUCGCAAGAACACCAGUGGCGAAGGCGGCUCACUGGCCCGGAACUGACGCUGAGGUGCGAAAGCGUGGGGAGCAAACAGGAUUAGAUACCCCAGUAGUCCAAGCC
rnacentral:rRNA from 1 species